CUGUGCUUAUGUAAAUGGAUGAGUGCUAAUCGCUUUGCUAAUGGGAAACACACAGGGAGAUAGGAUCUGCAGCAAAGCGGAAGGGCUUUCAGAAAAUUAGAGCUGGGAAAAACCCCAAAGAAAUCUGGGAAGAUGAUAAGGCAAUGCCCAAGAACUCACAGCAGCGCUGUGGGAGGGUGGGCUCUGGGGCAGAGGGGAGCUCCUGAAGCAUCAGCCAGUCCUGGAGACUCAAGUCCAAGGGAGGCAGGGCUGUGAGUAGUCAUCCAGCUGCCUUGGGCCCAGAGCAGCUUGAAGAGCAGAUUCCAUCUCCUUGAGCCAGGCCCACUUGCUGGGCAGCCUCGCCCAGAAUUCCUGGACAAUUCCUCUUUGCUUUGCCCUAUGCUGGGUUCUGGUAUCACACAGCCACAUCUAAACCCUGCGUCCCAGGAGAAGAGUUCAGCCAGAAUCAAUUACUCUGGAGGAAGCUAGCUGCCAGAUUGUGUGCAGUUCUAUGGAGAGGCCCACAUGGUGAGGAACUAAAGCCCUUGCCCAAUAGCCAGACGGGAAUUCAAGCCUGCUAAUCAUCAG
rnacentral:lncRNA from 1 species